rnacentral:lncRNA from 1 species
GUGGGUUUUUCUGUCACUAUUUUCAUAAUGGACAUAAUGAAAAUAUUGCACAGAACUCAAACAUGGAAAAUAUGGCUAACAAAAUAUUUAAACUAGUAUAUAUUUUACAUCUUUAAAAUGAACUCAAACACACAAAUUUUGAAGCACAUCUAUGAUUUGAAGUCUUAAAAUGACAUCUAAUGUUUUAUUUAAUAAUUAAAGUGUUUACAAAUUGACACAGUAUACAAAGAUUUUUAAGUGACCACUAAAGCCAAUGCUUUAAAACUGUUGGCUUUAAGUAACAGAGGUAUCAUUUGAAUUCAUAUCAAAGCUUUCUAAAAUGGCAAUAGUACAUAAAUGUACCUUUUUCUAUUAUUCAAAACUUGUGGUUUUGUCUUCACCAAGAAACAGAACUAUACAGCUGUUUAAUGCUGUCAGUUUCCUAGAAUGCUUUCACAAAAUGUGGCUUAUUUUAAAUUUCCCUUGCUUACUUUUUUAAUACUGUGCUAAGAAUAAAAUGAAGAAAAUCCAGCCAAUAGUGACUAAUAUUAUAUCUAUCCCCAAGGUUUAGAGAUUUCAAGAAUUUGGGUGAGGACAAAUAAUUGUUAAUAAAAGAUUUUUCAAAAGAUAACCAAUUUCUGAAAAUAGAAAGUAGAUGCGUGCACGUAUAUGUGUAUGUGUGUGUGUGUGUGUGUGUGUGUUUUAAAGGACAUUAGUGUAAGUUGAUUAUUGAAGAUGUUCUAGAAACUUAAGAGACUAGGAAUAGAAAAUAGAGAUUAGUUAAAAAAAAAAAAGUAGAUGAUACAGAAUGUUUUCUUACUGUUCAAUUAAGCAGAGCAAUUGCUCAGUUACACUCUAAAUUUCCACUUGGGUAGCAAAGUGAUCCCAAGCAUUUUAAUCUACUAUCACUACAUUUGGUUGACUCAAUCAUUUGCCUAAAAUGGGAAUUCAUUACAGAAAUACUGUAAGGAAGGAAAGAGGCAGAAGUUGUAGAAUCUGGGCCACCAGUCUUGGUAAUAAAUCUUGUCUUAAAAGAUUAGUUGGCUAAUUGCAUAUCAACCUCAAAUUCAAUUUAAUGUGGAAGGCAGACUUUCUGAAUAUUCAUUUUUAAAGACAGGAAUCUUUAAAACGGCACUAUUCCUAAAAAUCAAUGUUUUUAUGUCUUUAAAUUUGAUCUCAU